CCUACGGGAGGCAGCAGUGAGGAAUAUUGGUCAAUGGACGCAAGUCUGAACCAGCCAUGCCGCGUGCAGGAAGACGGCCCUAUGAGUUGUAAACUGCUUUUGUACGAGGGUAAACGCAGUUACUCGUAUCUGUCUGAAAGUAUCGUACGAAUAAGGAUCGGCUAACUUCGUGCCAGCAGCCGCGGUAAUACGGAGGAUUCAAGCGUUAUCCGUAUUUAUUGGGUUUAACGGGUGCGUAGGCGGUCGGAUAAGUUAGAGGUGAAAUCCCGGGGCUCAACUUGGGAAUUGCCGCUGAUACUGUUAGGCUAGAGAGUAGUUGCGGUAGGCGGAAUGUAUGGUGUAGCGGUGAAAUGCUUAGAGAUCAUACAGAACACCGAUUGCGAAGGCAGCUUACCAAGCUACUUCUGACGUUGAGGCGCGAAAGCGUGGGGAGCAAACAGGAUUAGAUACCCUAGUAGUC
rnacentral:rRNA from 1 species